rnacentral:rRNA from 1 species
GACGAACGCUGGCUGCGUGCUUAACACAUGCAAGUCGAACGGAAAGGCCCUGCUUUUGUGGGGUGCUCGAGUGGCGAACGGGUGAGUAACACGUGAGUAACCUGCCCUCGACUAUGGGAUAACUUCAGGAAACUGGGGCUAAUUACGGAUAGGAGCUCCUGCUGCAUGGUGGUGGUUGGAAAGGUUCGGCGGUUGGGGAUGGUCUCGCGGCUUAGCAGCUUGUUGGUGGGGUGGUUGCUUACCAAGGCGUUGACGGGGAGCCGGCGUGAGAGGGGGACCGGGCACAGUGGGACUGAGAUACGGCACAGACUCGUACGGGAGGCAGAAGUGGGGAAGAUUGCACAAUGGGCCGACGCCGGAUGCAGCAACGCCGCGUGCGGGAUGACGGGCUUUGGGGUGUAAACCGCUUGCUACUGUGACGAAGCGUGAGUGACGGUAAUGGGUAAGGAAGCACCGGCUAACUACGUG